ncrna:unclassified sequences HTH-XRE RNA
GAUCAGCAUAUGCAGGGGCAUACAUUGUAUGUGACGGAACUCCCAGCAGGAAGACUUGCAAAGGUGAUUUCCCUUUC